rnacentral:rRNA from 1 species
GAUGAACGCUAGCUACAGGCUUAACACAUGCAAGUCGAGGGACCGGCGCACGGGUGAGUCACACGUAUCCCACCUGCCCUUUACUCGGGGAUAGCCUUUCGAAAGACAGAUUAAUACCCGAUGUAAAGGGUGGGGAUGCGUUCCAUUAGGUUGUUGGUGAGGUAACGGCUCACCAAGCCUUCGAUGGAGAGGGGUUCUGAGAGGAAGGUCCCCCACAUUGGAACUGAGACACGGUCCAAACUCCUACGGGAGGCAGAAGUGAGGAAUAUUGGUCAAUGGGCGUGAGCCUGAACCAGCCAAGUAGCGUGAAGGAGGAAGGCUUAUGGGUCGUAAACUUCUUUUAUAUAAGAAUAGGUAUUAUAUGAAUAAGGAUCGGCUAACUCCGUGCCAGCAGCCGCGGUAAUAC